UUCUGUCACCAUCUUGCCCUGAUCACACCCACUCUGCUCUGAUCUUGGAAGCUAAGCAGGGUCCACACUGGAUAGUAUUCAAAUGGGAGACAUAGG
ensembl:rRNA predicted gene, 25625